rnacentral:pre_miRNA from 1 species
AAUAGAUGAUGCCGUUGAUUUUUUCUCACAUGUUUGACCAUUCGUCUUAUUCAAAAAAUUUACGUAAUUAUAAUUUAUUUGUUAUGAGUUGUUUUAUCACUCAUAGUACUUUAAGUGCGAUUUAUAUCUUAUACAUUUGCAUAAAUUUUUUGAAUAAGACGAAUGGUCAAACAUGUGAGAAAAAGUCAACGGCGUCAUCUAUU